GCCAAUUCCUCUUGUUUUUAGCACUUGGUAGGGAGCCUUCUGUAAUCAAUGGUUGUUGCGGUGUUGAAAGUCAAGAAAUAGAUUUGAGCUUUCUUCUGACUGCAACAUAGGCUGCUAUAAGGAUCAUUUCCCCUGCUGGAUCGUGUUAUCCUUUAUGUUAAAUUUCAGUGAUGGUUAAGCUUUGACUGGUCAGGUGAUAGCUCAGUCAUAUUUUAGCUGUAGCUUUUGUUGGAGUUUGUUUUUAUAUGUACAACUUCAAGUUCAAGUCUUAAGUGGUUCCCAAUCAUUGGAAGCAUAGAAGGGUGGAGAGUGGAGACUUAACUGGAGAAACAAGUGAAUGAGGGAAUAUGCUAUGAAGAUUUGAUGUUGACUUUAAAUAGUGAUGGUAUAUCGUAUGAGUAAUGAGUGCUCCGGGAAUGAGUGCUCCGGGAAGUAGUAACACUGAAACAGUUAUGCUACUGUGGGAUAAAACUAAUUGUUGUUCUGCUGUUGAGCUUGCUUUGUUGUAUUGCUUGGAUAUUCUUUUAUUAAGCAGCCAGAUCCUUUUGUAAGCGUUGAUGACCAGGUCAUAUUCAUUUAGAAGAGCUGAACUUUCUGUUGGAGAGAUAUAUCAUCCAUCCUCUUAGCCAUAGUAAUUCUUCCAACAGUGGAUUUGGUAUUUGCCUUAAACUGUUUUUCAAGAGCAUAUACCAAUCUUGAGUGGAAAUGUGUGCUCCAUUUCUCCAUUUGUCAUUCUUUCGUGGCACAAUGAAAUUGUGGCUAUUUUGAUUUAGUCAAUAUUUUUGUGCACUGGGUAGGUUGUUUAAUUGCUAACUUUUUUUUCUUGAUCUGCUUGAUAUUUCAUGUCGGUGGAGAUGCUCAUUAUUUGUUGAGUUGUUUAAAUUGUUGUGUUCUUUAGACUUUCUCAUAGGUUAGCUGUUGAUGUGGUGCUGUUAGGUGCUUACGUGUUUAUGAUCAUUAUGAGUUUAAUCAGCUGUUUCUUGUACCAGUGAACCUGAUACUUUAUGUAUCAUUUGUUAGUGGUGUAAUCUAGACCAGUCUUAUAUGUUGAUUUUAUUUUGUUGUAUCUCAAGUUAAUAUCUCAAUACCCUGAGUUAUGAUUUAUAUAGCAUAUUCCUUGACUUCCCAAGCAUUUAGGAUGAGCUUGUCUCCUCCAUGACAUGUUUGCUCAGUGUUUGUUUGUUGAUCAUCUAACCUCCUUUACUUCAGCUUCUAAUGUAUGUUCGACAUUUUUAUGUUUUUGUUUUUAGGCAUAACCUUUGGGCCUCUAAUGGCUGCCUGUGCUUUGCUCGAGUAUUUAUAUGAGAUCUCUCUCUCUCUCUCUCUCU
rnacentral:misc_RNA from 1 species